rnacentral:rRNA from 1 species
UACGUAGGAGGCAAGCGUUGUCCGGAAUUACUGGGCGUAAAGCGCGUGUAGGUGGUGGGACAAGUCUGCUGUGAAAGCGCCUGGCUUAACCGGGCGAGGUCGGCGGAAACUGUCCGACUCGAGGACGGUAGAGGGGGGUGGAAUUCCCGGUGUAGUGGUGGAAUGCGUAGAGAUCGGGAAGAACAUCAGUGGCGAAGGCGGCCUGCUGGGCUGUUGCUGACGCUGAGGCGCGACAGCGUGGGGAGCAAACAGG